rnacentral:rRNA from 1 species
UCGAAAACCUGUCCCAGUUCGGACUGGAGUCUGCAACCCGACUCCACGAAGUUGGAUUCGCUAGUAAUCGCGCAUCAGCCAUGGCGCGGUGAAUACGUUCCCGGGCCUUGUACACACCGCCCGUCAAGCCAUGGGAGCCGGGGGCGCCUGAAGUCCGGGACCGCGAGGACCGGCCUAGGGCGAAACUGGUGACUGGGGCUAAGUCGUAACAAGGUAUC